rnacentral:rRNA from 1 species
AGUGAACGCUGGCGGUAGGCCUAACACAUGCAAGUCGAACGGCAGCACAGUAAGAGCUUGCUCUUACGGGUGGCGAGUGGCGGACGGGUGAGGAAUACAUCGGAAUCUACUUUUUCGUGGGGGAUAACGUAGGGAAACUUACGCUAAUACCGCAUACGACCUACGGGUGAAAGCAGGGGAUCUUUGGACCUUGCGCGAUUGAAUGAGCCGAUGUCGGAUUAGCUAGUUGGCGGGGUAAAGGCCCACCAAGGCGACGAUCCGUAGCUGGUCUGAGAGGAUGAACAGCCACACUGGAACUGAGACACGGUCCAGACUCCUACGGGAGGCAGCAGUGGGGAAUAUUGGACAAAGGGCGCAAGCCUGAUCCAGCCAUACCGCGUGGGUGAAGGAGGCCUUCGGGUUGUAAAGCCCUUUUGUUGGGAAAGAAAAGCAGCAGGUUAAUACCCCGCUGUUCUGACGGUACCCAAAGAAUAAGCACCGGCUAACUUCGUG